rnacentral:piRNA from 1 species
GCAAGGACUACCGACGGUGAGACGAAG